rnacentral:rRNA from 1 species
UACGAAGGGGGCUAGCGUUGCUCGGAAUUACUGGGCGUAAAGGGCGUGCAGGCGGUUUGUUAAGUGCAGGGUGAAAGCUCCCGGCUCAACUGGGAGAGGUCCUUGCAUACUGGCGAACUCGAGGGAGGCAGAGGAAAGUGGAAUUCCCGGUGUAGUGGUGAUAUGCGUAGAUAUCGGGAGGAACACCUGGUGGCGAAGGCGGCCUCCUGGGACGUAACCUGACGCUGAGACGCGAAAGCGUGGGGAGCAAACGG